UACGUAGGGUGCGAGCGUUGUCCGGAAUUAUUGGGCGUAAAGAGCUCGUAGGCGGUGUGUCACGUCGGCCGUGAAAACCUGGGGCUUAACUCUGGGCGUGCGGUCGAUACGGGCAUCACUAGAGUUCGGCAGGGGAGACUGGAAUUUCGUGUGUAGGGGUGAAAUCCGUAAAUAUACGAAGGAACGCCAAAAGCGAAGGCAGCUCUCUGGGUCCCUACCGACGCUGGGGUGCGAAAGCAUGGGGAGCGAACAGG
rnacentral:rRNA from 1 species